AUGCAUGUGGAAAAAAUCUUCCUCCCAGCUGGAGAUGUAAAACCAUUACAGGCUUAUUUGCAUCACAGCGCAAAGGGUUUUUUUGGAGAUGCUAGAGUCAGGAGGGAUGCCCCCACCAGCACUGCCCGCCUGAACCAGCUGCAGUGCAUGGACGCAGAUGGUGAGCAUACGGCCACCUCUCCUGCAAGUGUGGCCCUCAGAAAUUCCCGGGACCAGCUGCCCCUUGUCAAAAAAAAGAUGGAUCUCUGGAGAAUUUCAGCUUUGGGCUCUUCCACUGGAGUUGCUGCUGGGGCAGGGACACAGAAGAGAUGCGGACAGACCUAGCCCUUAAAUGCCAGCAAUGAAGCUCCUGGGACCAAUGCUUUGGGGAAUAGCCUUGGCUUGGCAAGACUGGCAGCAGAGGCUCCCAAUGUCUUCUGAGGACCAGUUUCUGUACCUUUCUGUACGGGACAGUGCAGCCAGAGUCUGGUUAUCUCAGGUCUACUGCACAUGCAGAAGCUGAGGACCUCUCACUGAUUUGAUCUCCCAUGCUUAAAAUUCUUUAGAAGACUUAGACUGCCUGCUUGCAGAAGCAAGAGGACGAUGAGUGCCUUUCCUUGAGGACAACACAGCCUGUUUUCUAAUUAUGCCUGUAACUAGUCCACUAGAGUACUUUUCUUUUUUUCUCUCUCUUUUUUUUUUUGUUUUCUUUUUUUCACAGAGUAUUAUUGCUUUUCUUUUUUUUAAAGCCACGUUGCAGCUAUGAAUCCCCCUCCAUCCCUAUCAGCUCUAACAAAGAGAGAGAAAUGGACUUCUGGGAGGAAUUCCUUUCUGGAACUGCUGCUGAGAAACACUUUUUAUGAGCUGUUUACUGUCCUUUUCCAGUAAAUGACUCUUUUUUAUAGAGCAUGUUGGUCAAAACCUGCAGACUAUUGUCAGGCUGGAAUGUGAAAUGGCAGAACAGCAUCCAGUUAAAAGCUACUGUGAUGGAAGUUACAGGAGUGCAGAAGACGAGGUUUCUGCUCACCCAUUUUAAUUGGCAGAAAUAUUCUUCAGCACCAGUGGGAUCAAAUGCCCAUGCAAAACACAUUUGGUAUGAAUUCAUAAAGAUUUGUCUGUCCAUAGGAAUUUUUAGCCUUAAGCAGCUUCUUCAUUGUUGAGUACUCUCCCCUCACGUAGGACAAGGCACAGUCUUGUUCUUUCAUGAACUCCUUGCACAGACUGUCCCAAGGCUGCACGCUCCUUAGAGGACGCGUUGAAAUACUGUCUGAAGGACUGGGCUUGCUCUCAGACCUGGCGACUGCUUUUAUAGAAAGGUUUUAUGUUUCCUAAGGUGGUUGUCAUC
rnacentral:lncRNA from 1 species